AGUACUACACAUCGAAUUUGUCCGAGACUGGAGGCCACCCUUAAGAUGAUUAGAGAUAGGUCCCUAAUUCAUGAUUGAAUGUGUUUGCAUUAGCAUGACCCCUAUAGUGGGUUCACUUACUGAGUAUUUCUUAGCCGUGUGCCAUAUUGGGAUCAGGGACUGUGGC